rnacentral:misc_RNA from 1 species
CAAAACAUUUCGGACAUGGAUUUGGUGAUGGCAGCCUGACUUUUGACAUAAUUUAGAUUGUAAGGUGGUCACAAAAAGCCUUCAUCUAAAAAAUCUGGUAUCAUGAUGCUUGAAAGUGAUUAUACACACGAUCAUAUGUCCAAAUCAUCAUCAGGGUCCUCAUCUGAAUCUGGCAUCUCAUCAUCUGAAUCGCGAAAAUAUAUUAUCUCACCCCUCCCAGAAUCCUCUGUUGUUUGCAGUUUCUCAACUGAAGCUUGUUUCUCCUCAUUUUCGCUCUCGUUAAGUGAUUUACGACCAUCAUAGAUUUGAAUGGGUUUACCAGUUCCUUGAUGUUCAAAUGGGAGUACAACUUUUGCUCGGUCUAAUCUUUCCUUCUCUGACAAUUCUAAAUUGAAUUGCACCUUGGGAACAAGACUUUGUGCAGUGAUUCCAUCUUCAGAUGAAACUUCAGUAAUUUUGAUGCCUGAUCCCUCAACAUAAAGCUCUUCCCUCUAAAAAAAUAGAUUUUUAACAGUGUAAGAUGAAGUGUUCAUGCUAUCUUAUGAGGGGAACAG